rnacentral:rRNA from 1 species
UACGGGGGGGGUAAGCGUUGUUCGGAAUUACUGGGCGUAAAGGGCUCGUAGGCGGCCAACUAAGUCAGACGUGAAAUCCCUCAGCUUAACUGGGGAACUGCGUCUGAUACUGGAUGGCUUGGAUUCGGGAGAGGAAUGCGGAAUUCCAGGUGUAGCGGUGAAAUGCGUAGAUAUGCGGAGGAACACCGAUGGCGAAGGCAAUCCCCUGGACCUGUACUGACGCUCAUGCACGAAAGCGUGGGGAGCAAACAGG